UUUUAUGGAGAGUUUGAUCCUGGCUCAGGAUGAACGCUGGCGGCGUGCCUAAUACAUGCAAGUCGAGCGAACGGACGAGAAGCUUGCUUCUCUGAUGUUAGCGGCGGACGGGUGAGUAACACGUGGAUAACCUACCUAUAAGACUGGGAUAACUUCGGGAAACCGGAGCUAAUACCGGAUAAUAUUUUGAACCGCAUGGUUCAAAAGUGAAAGACGGUCUUGCUGUCACUUAUAGAUGGAUCCGCGCUGCAUUAGCUAGUUGGUAAGGUAACGGCUUACCAAGGCAACGAUGCAUAGCCGACCUGAGAGGGUGAUCGGCCACACUGGAACUGAGACACGGUCCAGACUCCUACGGGAGGCAGCAGUAGGGAAUCUUCCGCAAUGGGCGAAAGCCUGACGGAGCAACGCCGCGUGAGUGAUGAAGGUCUUCGGAUCGUAAAACUCUGUUAUUAGGGAAGAACAUAUGUGUAAGUAACUGUGCACAUCUUGACGGUACCUAAUCAGAAAGCCACGGCUAACUACGUGCCAGCAGCCGCGGUAAUACGUAGGUGGCAAGCGUUAUCCGGAAUUAUUGGGCGUAAAGCGCGCGUAGGCGGUUUUUUAAGUCUGAUGUGAAAGCCCACGGCUCAACCGUGGAGGGUCAUUGGAAACUGGAAAACUUGAGUGCAGAAGAGGAAAGUGGAAUUCCAUGUGUAGCGGUGAAAUGCGCAGAGAUAUGGAGGAACACCAGUGGCGAAGGCGACUUUCUGGUCUGUAACUGACGCUGAUGUGCGAAAGCGUGGGGAUCAAACAGGAUUAGAUACCCUGGUAGUCCACGCCGUAAACGAUGAGUGCUAAGUGUUAGGGGGUUUCCGCCCCUUAGUGCUGCAGCUAACGCAUUAAGCACUCCGCCUGGGGAGUACGACCGCAAGG
rnacentral:rRNA from 2 species